rnacentral:tRNA from 1 species
GCCGAGGUGGCGGAAUUGGCAGACGCGCUACUUUGAGGGGGUAGUGAGAGCAAUCUCGUAAGGGUUCAAGUCCCUUCCUCGGCACCA